AUUGAACGCUGGCGGCAUGCCUUACACAUGCAAGUCGAACGGCAGCGGACCUUCGGGUGCCGGCGAGUGGCGAACGGGUGAGUAAUAUAUCGGAACGUGCCCAGUAAUGGGGGGAUAGCUCGGCGAAAGCCGGAUUAAUACCGCAUACGCCCUGAGGGGGAAAGUGGGGGAUCUUCGGACCUCACGUUAUUGGAGCGGCCGAUAUCAGAUUAGCUAGUUGGUGGGGGUAAAGGCCUACCAAGGCGACGAUCUGUAGCUGGUCUGAGAGGAUGAUCAGCCACACUGGGACUGAGACACGGCCCAGACUCCUACGGAGGCAGCAGUGGGGGAAUUUUGGACAAUGGGCGAAAGCCUGAUCCAGCCAUGCCGCGUGAGUGAAG
rnacentral:rRNA from 1 species